UCGGGAUAGCUCCGUUGGUCA
rnacentral:tRNA from 1 species